GUGCAAGCGUUAAUCGGAAUUACUGGGCGUAAAGCGCGCGUAGGCGGCUUCGUAAGUCGGGUGUGAAAGCCCCGGGCUCAACCUGGGAACUGCGCUCGAUACUGCGGAGCUCGAGUACGAGAGAGGGGGGUGGAAUUCCAGGUGUAGCGGUGAAAUGCGUAGAUAUCUGCAGGAACACCCGUGGCGAAAGCGGCGCGCUGGACCACUACUGACGCUGAGGAACGAAAGCUAGGGGAGCAAACAGG
rnacentral:rRNA from 1 species